CAUGAAAGAAGCAUGAAUGGAAAAAUAUAGACUGAGACUAGAAUCGUUGAACACAUAAUAGGUGUGGUGGAUAGGAAGCCAGGCUCGGGGAAGAAAGAUGGAUGAAGACAACACGUGCAGCCUGGCAGAAAGGGGCGUGUAUGCACACAGGAAUCACAAUGACCCCCAUGGGGACUAGGAAACAAAACUGGGCCAAAGCUUCCUACAAAGAAAAGCUUGUGAAGAGAGAUCCUCUUUCAGACCCCCAAUCAAAGGACGUUUUUCUGGACAAACAAAAUGGCUUACAACCAUUGUUGAUUGCUGCACUAGAAACUUCGACGGAACCAGUGGUAUGAUGCUAACACCUGGAAGGUUUCAGAAGAGGUUCGGGACCCUUCCUCCAAGAAUAUAUCCACGAUAACGUGGGAUGGAAGAAAUUAAUCAUCCACUGCUGGAGCCAGAAAAAAUGAGGAAUGGGUAGUGGAUAUUCAUUGUUCAUCACACCCUUGCCAGUAUUUGACCAGGAAUAGCCUGGUGACCAAAUCUGCAUAUAAGACUCCAGAGAGUCUCCUGAAGGCCUUUGGGAAAACACAGGAAGAAAUGGUCUCACUUCCUCAGGACAUUGUUUUGUCUGCAUGGCACUCUUGGGGUUGCCUCAGCCAUCCCUACCAGUCUGAGAAUGAAGACAACACUAAAGGUAACAGACUAGAGAGAUGGGACAAAACUCGGGCCCUAGGAGCAUGGUUGAACCACUGAGACAAACAAGCCUGAAGCCUCUGGACUUCUAGUUAUGGAAGUUAGUACCUCUCCUUAUUGUUUCAUCCUUGUGAGUUAGGAAGACAAAGGUUCAGAGGAGGAAUUCGCUGAGGAGUGAGGGGUACAUCCCCCCGCCACCAUGCAGCUGAUGGGGACCGUAAUGUUUGAGCUCAUGGAUGGGGAAGGGGGUGAGACUUAGGUAGAUUGGGUCCACCCAGCCCUUUGCUCCCUGACUAAGCAUACUUUGCAAACAGAGCAAAACUGAAGGAAAGAACUUUCCUUGGGAUUUCAGGUGUGUUUAUUCAGCUAAUGUAGCAGGGUUACAAACCACACAAACUAUAUACUCAUAUGUACGAAGAAGAUGUAGUUAAUUUUCUAUAAGCCUCAACCCUCAGUAGAUACCAGAGAUGCUUGCUAAUUAACUUGCUAAUUAAAGUUUCUGUCUCUUGGGCUUUAAACACCCUCCUUUUAGUUAAGCAAUCAGAUUAUUCAAAGUUCAGUUUCCUAGCAUGGCUGGCAUAGAUCGCGCAUUUUGGAUGACUCAGUCUCUCUGAGUAAAUUCUCAGCCUACCAGCGGGAUUCUCUAUGCUUUUCUCCUUCCUAAGAGGUGUGUGAGGCAGCUUAUGCCAUGGAUGUCCUCUAAAGGCUUGCUGGUUUCUGCUACACUAUGGUUUGUUGAUCUGCAUCCUUAACUGAUAAUCACUGUGGUGUGGCCCAUCCCAUUUGGCCCUCUCAAGUCAUGACGUGGUACUCAUGGUACCCAUCCCUGGAGUCUGUGGUCCCAGAUCUUUUACAAAGACCCCUUGCAUAGGACCUCUUUAUCCUGCUGGUGCUCUGGUACUCCCGUUCUCCCCCUUCCCUUCAGCAAGGCAUACAGCCACCUCUGCAGGCAAGAUGGGGCCAGCAGGGAGCCCUGAGCACUGCCCCAUGCUCGCCUGAACAGUCAGCUUGCUCUGCUCCAUCACUCUGCUGCUAUGUUGGACAGAGAGCUAAGCAGGGGCCAGGGCUCCCCAAGAAGCCAGCAGCCUCCUCUAGGCCUCUUUCUGGGAAGCUGCCCUAAGCCCCAGAAUGGUAGAUACCUCAAUACCUACAUGAAUGUCCUACACUCCCACUAGCUCAAGUUUGGGGGUCCAGAAGUGAAGAAAAUGCCUCUGGACUUGAUUCCUUUCUUUCUUUCUCAAAACUGAAGAAGUGUUGAAAAGUUCCGGCUUAUUAUUUCUCUAUCUUAUCUCUUCUCCACCUAAGACUCUAAGAUGGAGACCAUCAACUAUUGAUCUGUUCAAGAAGGGCACUAUGGAAUUCAGAUAUCUCUUCUCUAUCUCCAUAAAACUUGUAAGAUUUUUGAAUUUAUCAAAUUGCUUAAGGAAAAUCCCCAGAUUUGAAAUUCAAAUGGCUUAUUUUUUUUAAGCAGCAUUAGUCUUUUCCUUGUGUGGUAUAAUGAGUCCCAAGGUGGCUUAAAGCCAAGAGACCACAAAGUACUGGACUGAAAAAAAUGACAAUAAAUCAAUUAUAUUUACUUGUUUAGAUAAAAAUUAUAUAAUUAUAUAUGUAGUAUGUAUCAUUACAUAAUAUACAAUUUAUAUAUAAUUAGCCAUACGUGAGAGUAAGGAAUGAAUGACACUCAGGGGUCAUUGCCAACAUAAGAAAUGCAGGUUUUCUCGGCCUUUUGAUCACCUCUCAAUCCUUUCUGAAUGAUUUAAUGAACAAUUAAAGUUAGUCCUGCAGAUUUUUAUUUCUCCCCACUGUAAGAAUCAAGGAAUUACAUUGAAAAUGCUACAAGAUAAUCUUUGAGUAAAUACUAUUUAAAUGAAGGGGGUGGGUCUGUUACCUUGUCUAAUUAAAUCUCAGAUUAAUCCUAGAAAAUAAAGAAGGCCAUGUUUGUUGGGGAAUUGGAAUGGGAUAGACUCAAUAUCAAAAUCAGCAUAGCAACAGCAAACCAUGCACUGAACUUGAGAUAUCAUUGGCCCAAGACAGUGUAUGGUCAUAAGAAAGGGGAAAAUCACCUGCUUUUUCAGCGUGGAAGGCAAAAAUCCGCAUUUACUGAUGAAUGUCCAUCCUGAUUUCUGAGCCUAUCUAUUAAACCAGAGUCUUUCCUUUUA